GCGGCUCCUCAGUCCCAAGCAGCAGUGUGGAGCUGUUUGAGAAACUUCUAGCACGAGAGAAAGAAAACACACCGCACGUGCCCCUCUAGGACCAGGGAGAGGAGCACCUCGUGUCCCGAGAUGAUGUGCAGGCAGCUCUCCUCCUCCAUCAUCAGCAACCUGGGGCAGCCGCUGGAGGGGCUGGACAGCCCCCUCCCCGUCAUCACCCCCGUGGUCCUUGCCUGCAUUUCCUGUGCGGCCGCCAUCCUCCCCAUCUGGGCGAAGCAGCUGGACUUCGAGAGCGCCUUCCAUUUCCGCUUCGUCACGCUAACCACCACGGGGCCUGGGGACGUGGUGUGAGACUCCCUCACUCCCUCCGGCCCAUCUCCAUUUACAUCAUCACUGGAUGGAGAUGGCGUACACUGCUUUCACGCUGGUGCGAAACAGGCUGAUCCACAUCCACGAAAGCCUCAGGCUAUUCUUUGCACACGGGAAGUUUCAGCCUCCUGUUAAAAAGCAAGGCUCCCUUGGCUCUCAUGUGACAAUGCCGCUGGCCCAGCUGGCUCUCUUGUCCUCUUUAGGGGCAGUGGAGUUAGAACUGGUGGCAUUGCAGCCUGUCACCUGAGACCUCGGAGGCACAACCUGCGUGAUGGCUGAUUUCAUUCUCGAGGCCCUGCAGACAUGCAGCCAAUGCCCUUCCUAUCAGGACAUUAGAAAAACUUGUCACCAUCUCCCCAAGUCCAAUGAAUUGUCCCGUCUUCAUUUCUUCAAAAGCCCCACCUAUUAUGUAGAUGAAACCAUCUUACAGAUGUCACUGGAUUUCUUGCAACAUGAGAAAAAAAUUACUUUUUUUUUUUUUUUUUGCAAUUUGUACUCUCAGCUAAAUCCAGAUCCUCCUGAGCUGCUUCUCCUUUUCCCUCAAUGACAUGGCUCAUCUGAGCCACCUUUUCUUGAAUGACUGCAUUAAUGGGAUCAGCCUCAUCCCAGCCCUUGUCAAAUGCAUGGAUGGCACUGAGUGGGACUGCCACCUGUGUUCACUGGGGCCUGGGAUAUUUCCUGAUCGCCAAUUCGGUAGACCCGUGUUCUCACCAAGCGGCCCGUGCUGGAUGGCACCUCCGGAAUGAGGUGGCUGAUACCAGUGUCCAUGCUUAUGUGGCUGGAUGGGUACUGGGAAGGGUUGGCGCUCGGCUGGUGGGUACCCUUUUGGAGGGUUCACUGUUACGUUUGCCGAGUGAGCAAUGCGCAGGGCCAAGACGGUAGAGCAAGAGAGAUUUACUAAGGCCACUGAAACAGAUGCUCACGAUGGUGCCAGCCCCAACGUCAAGGAGAUAUUAGGCUUAUAAAGGAUCCGUGGCGGGAACUUGUGGUGGGAACAAUAAAGAAGGAGGGGAGGGUUACACGAUUUAAGGGAGGGGUAGGGCGUCGAGUCCCACAGCAGAGGGCAUCUCUGUAGAUGGUUAACCUGUGCAGGCAGAUGUUUGCCACAGGCCAUUGUCUGAGCAUCCACCUUCUGGGAGACGGCAUACAUCUUGCGUCGGCCUAUUCCCUUAUCUGCAGCAGGUCUCCAAGCUGAAGGGCCACAUUUAGGAGGUGGAGCCUGGGAACCUAUCCUUUAUGAAUAGCAUGUGAACAGAGGGGGAUCUGGUGGCAAAUGCUAGAGGCGGUCCACCCAUAUGGCCUGGUACCCCAGCUCCCUUUGCCUGAGGACUGUCUCUGGCCACUAAAGUGUGGGCACGUGCAGGGCAGGCUGGUAGUGCUGAGCAGUUGUCGCUGAACCAGUGACCCAUGGGAGUGGGUGGACAUAUGGCCCCAGCUUCUUGUGGCUCCCACGGGAUAACCCUGGACCACAUUCAACACUGUCUCCCCAAGUUCCCCAGUGGAAUCGAGCCUCACCUGUGAUGAGUGUGCCCUGGACCGGCCUCCUUCAUUUCCCUGUCUCGUGUCUCCAUCUGUCUUGGGCCCACCCCCGGCCAACCCACUUGCACUCAAAUCCUUGUCUCAGAGUCACUUCCAGCCUGCGAGAGGAGUGUUAAACCAGUGUAUGAACUGGUUGGCUCAGGUACAGGGCAGUACAAGGGUCUCUGUUUUCCUGGUCAGUUGUGAGAAGUGUCUCUUUAAAAGAAUCGAAUUGUCUUGACUGCUUCUUUGAGUGAAUCUUGGAAAAAAAUCAACGUGUGUCCUGUGAUUGGCUAGAUAAGGCAGCUCCUAAGGAAAGGCUGAACUCUGCUCCCAGGCUUCGAACAAAAAUUGUAAGAACUGGUGAAAAGUGCCAGGAGGUUCCAGUUUGAAAAGAAAGGAAGCGCCUAUUUUUGAAGGCCUCUCUGUUUUGUCUUAGAUUCUGGCCAGUGCCAAGGGCCAGCUCUCAGAGGGGUCACAGGCCUUCCUUUCUGUAUCUUUCCUUCUCUUCCUCAUAACUAUUCAUUUCUGAACCCUUUCAGUUCUUUAAGACCUACCUCAGGAAAUAGUAUUGAUACAGGAAAUGGAACAUGACAAAGAAUCGCUGAAGGAUGUGGAAUUGCAGUCAGCAGCCCCUGGGACUGUGGGUUCUAUGGAGCUUCUGGAGUCCUUGAGGUCACAGCAGUCCAAUUUCCUUGCAGCAAAGCCCCUCGAACCCAGAGGUCAUCAAGACUGGCCACUCAAGUGAGAGUACCUGAUCAGACAGUUCAGCCAACAUUCAUUGAGUGCUUGCUGUUUUCAGGCUCAAAGAGAAUUCCAGAAACAAUCAGGCACAUCCUCAGAAAUGUGGAGCUAAUUAUAGGUGGUAUUGAGUCUCUCAGCCACUCCCUUGGCGAGGCAGUAGAAAGUCCUGUUCAGUAGUUCCUGUAGUGGCUCAGUGGUUAACGAACCCAACUAGUAUCCAUGAGAGGAAGCGGGUUCGAUCUCUGGCCCCGCUCAGUGGCUUAAGGAUCUGGCAUUGCCAGGAACUGUGGUGUAGGUGGCAGAUGCAGCUCUGAUCUAGGGAUCUAGUGUGGCUGUGGCUGUGGUGUAGGCCGACGGCUUCAGCUCUGAUUAGACCCCUAGCCUGGGAACCCCCAUAUGCUGCUGGUGUAUAC
rnacentral:lncRNA from 1 species